rnacentral:tRNA from 1 species
GGAAAUGUGGCUUGGUGGUAGAGUAUUUGCCUGGCAUGCAUGAAGCCCUGGGUUCGACUCCUCAGUACCA